AAAUUGAAGAGUUUGAUCAUGGCUCAGAUUGAACGCUGGCGGCAGGCCUAACACAUGCAAGUCGAACGGUAACAGGAAACAGCUUGCUGUUUCGCUGACGAGUGGCGGACGGGUGAGUAAUGUCUGGGAAACUGCCUGAUGGAGGGGGAUAACUACUGGAAACGGUAGCUAAUACCGCAUAAUGUCGCAAGACCAAAGAGGGGGACCUUCGGGCCUCUUGCCAUCGGAUGUGCCCAGAUGGGAUUAGCUAGUAGGUGGGGUAACGGCUCACCUAGGCGACGAUCCCUAGCUGGUCUGAGAGGAUGACCAGCCACACUGGAACUGAGACACGGUCCAGACUCCUACGGGAGGCAGCAGUGGGGAAUAUUGCACAAUGGGCGCAAGCCUGAUGCAGCCAU
rnacentral:rRNA from 1 species